UUUCCGUAGGUGAACCUGCGGAAGGAUCAUUAUCGUACAAAAGGCUAGGGGCAUGCGAGGGCUGUCGCUUUCUCUAAAGGCGUGCACGCGCGAGUGUGACCUCUUGCAUAAUAAUCCAUCGCACCCUUUGUGCAUCACCGCGUGUGCGCCCUUCGGGAUCAUCUAGGAGGGGGUCUCGCGUUUUAAAACAAACCCCCUUUUACAAGUGUAGAAUGACCACAUUUAAGCAAUCAACACAACUUUCAACAACGGAUCUCUUGGCUAUGACAGCGGAUAAGA
rnacentral:misc_RNA from 1 species